ensembl:lncRNA
UAGCAAAGUAACUGCCUGCUCAAGGGGACAACAGAGUUCAUUUAUAUAUUAAGCUUAACUAGGUUCUAAGUUUUUAGACCUAGAGUAUCAGUUACCAGCCCAGACCUAUAACCACUCAUGUGCACCAUCCCAAAAUGUAUAGCUUCGCCACCCGUUCCAUCUUUUCAUCUGAGCACUCAUACCGGCGGGUUCAUGGUGCGUCUGGCCGCUCUCACUCUCUUCUGGGCCGCAGCGGCUCUGGCGCGGCGGAUCCUCCUCGAACACGAGCUUGAACUCGAACUCUCCCUCCUCCCAGCCCGAGCCCGGCGCGGCCCCCAUCGCUCACUCCGAGAAAAGUACAACCAAGACCGGCUACAGAUAUAUCACCGACUCUCUCACUUCUCAAUAUCGGAAACACAUUGUCUUCUGUCCAAUAGAGAAUUCCCUGGACAGGCACCAGUGAAGCCUUGUCUGCCAAACAGACAAGACACUGAUGCUGAAGGCUGAUCCAUCCGUGACGCCAUAACGAU